UUCCAGACUCCUACGGGAGGCAGCAGUGAGGAAUAUUGGUCAAUGGGCGGAAGCCUGAACCAGCCAAGUCGCGUGAGGGACUAAGGCCCUGCGGGUCGUAAACCUCUUUUGCCGGGGAGCAGUGGUCCGGACGCGUCCGGACCGGGAGAGUACCCGGAGAAAAAGCAUCGGCUAACUCCGUGCCAGCAGCCGCGGUAAUACGGAGGAUGCGAGCGUUAUCCGGAUUUAUUGGGUUUAAAGGGUGCGCAGGCGGAAUGUCAAGUCAGCGGUAAAAUUUCGGGGCUCAACCCCGUCGUGCCGUUGAAACUGGCGUUCUUGAGUGAGCGAGAAGUAUGCGGAAUGCGUGGUGUAGCGGUGAAAUGCAUAGAUAUCACGCAGAACUCCGAUUGCGAAGGCAGCAUACCGGCGCUCAACUGACGCUCAUGCACGAAAGCGUGGGUAUCGAACAGGAUUAGAUACCCUGGUAAUG
rnacentral:rRNA from 1 species